AGUGAACGCUGGCGGUAGGCCUAACACAUGCAAGUCGAACGGCAGCACAGUAAGAGCUUGCUCUUACGGGUGGCGAGUGGCGGACGGGUGAGGAAUACAUCGGAGUCUACUUUUUCGUGGGGGAUAACGUAGGGAAACUUACGCUAACACCGCAUACGACCUACGGGUGAAAGCAGGGGAUCUUCGGACCUUGCGCGAUUGAAUGAGCCGAUGUCGGAUUAGCUAGUUGGCGGGGUAAAGGCCCACCAAGGCGACGAUCCGUAGCUGGUCUGAGAGGAUGAUCAGCCACACUGGAACUGAGACACGGUCCAGACUCCUACGGGAGGCAGCAGUGGGGAAUAUUGGACAAUGGGCGCAAGCCUGAUCCAGCCAUACCGCGUGGGUGAAGAAGGCCUUCGGGUUGUAAAGCCCUUUUGUUGGGAAAGAAAAGCAGCAGGUUAAUACCCCGCUGUUCUGACGGUACCCAAAGAAUAAGCACCGGCUAACUUCGUG
rnacentral:rRNA from 1 species